rnacentral:rRNA from 1 species
AUUGAACGCUGGCGGCAGGCCUAACACAUGCAAGUCGAACGAGUGGCGGACGGGUGAGUAAUGUCUGGGAAACUGCCUGAUGGAGGGGGAUAACUACUGGAAACGGUAGCUAAUACCGCAUACCAUCGGAUGAGCCCAGAUGGGAUUAGCUAGUAGGUGGGGUAAAGGCUCACCUAGGCGACGAUCCCUAGCUGGUCUGAGCGGAUGACCAGCCACACGGGAACUGAGACACGGGCCAGACGCCGACGGGAGGCAGCAGUGGGGAAUAUUGCACAAGGGGCUCAAUGCUGAUGCAGCCAUGCCGCGUGUAGGAAGAAGGCCUUCGGGUUGUAAAGUACUUUCAGCGGGGAGGCGUUACCCGCAGAAGAAGCACCGGCUAACUCCGUGCCAGCAGCCGCGGUAAUAC